ACAGCAGUCGCCACGGUAAUACGAAGGGUGCAAGCGUUAAUCGGAAUUACUGGGCGUAAAGCGUGCGUAGGCGGUGAGUUAAGUCUGUUGUGAAAUCCCCGGGCUCAACCUGGGAAUGGCAAUGGAUACUGGCAAGCUAGAGUGUGUCAGAGGAUGGUGGAAUUCCCGGUGUAGCGGUGAAAUGCGUAGAGAUCGGGAGGAACAUCAGUGGCGAAGGCGGCCAUCUGGGACAACGCUGACGCUGAGGCACGAAAGCGUGGGGAGCAAACAGGAUUAGAUACCCCUGUAGUCCCUGUCUCUUAUAC
rnacentral:rRNA from 1 species